CCUACGGGCGGCAGCAGUGAGGAAUAUUGCUCAAUGGGCGCUAGCCUGAUCCAGCCACGCAGCGUGAAGGAUGACUGCCUUAUGGUUUGUAAGCUUCUUUUAUAUGGAAGUAAAGUGCCGUUAGUAUACUACUUUGCACUUACCUUCUGAAUACGGAUAGCCUAACUCCGUGCAAGCAGCCGCGGUAAUACGGAGGAUACGAGCGUUAUCUGGAUUGAAUGGGUUUAAAGGGAGCGGAGGGGGGUUGUUAAGUCAGUUGUGAAAGUUUGGGGCUCAACCGUAAGAUUGCAGUUGAUACUGGCAUCCUAGAGUACAGUAGAGGUAAGCGGAAUUCGUGGUGUAGCGGUGAAAUGCGUAGAUAUCAGGAAGAACACCGAUUGCGAAGGCAGCCUACUGGACUGUAACUGACGCUGAUGCUCGAAAGUGUGGGUAGCAAACAGGAUUAGAUACCCGAGUAGUC
rnacentral:rRNA from 1 species